rnacentral:tRNA from 1 species
AAGUAAGUUGGCAGAAUAGUGCUACCGACUUAGAAUCGGCCCAUGGGUGCCACCCACUUACUA